UGCUCCACCCCCAGACCCCCCCCCCCCCCCAGGAUCUUCUCAGUGGAGGCGCUAAGUUGAGCUAACGCUACUCUGGGCGAACUUAGCAGUAAGGGUUAAAGUUCAGAGCGAUCACGGAUCAUCUGGGGGGCGGGGCAGAACCGCCGGCCGGGGUCCGGUCAGCCGAGGUCAGCCGAGGUCAGCUGAGGUCAGCCGAGGUCAGCCGAGGUCAGCUGAGGUCCGGUCCGUCUUUUGAUUGAGACCUGAUCAGAACCAAGAACGGACUCCUGCCGUCCAAUUAGACGAGGAGAGGAGGGCCGACCCCCACAGGGCCGGGGUGAGGGAGAUGAUGGUCAAGGGGCCCUCAGGGGCCAGAGAGGGGGGGCCAAACAUGUCCGCCUUAUAGACAAGGAAACAAGGUGAUAAGGAAACAAGGUGAUAAGGAAACAUCCAGCAGAAAGAGUGAAGGAUGCGAAGACAAUUCCGCGACGUGUUUUCACGAUAUUUCAUAACAAAAAAAUCGCUCCUAUAGUUUGAGAUUCGCCUGAUUUUUUACGAUAUAAAGGAGUUUUUUUUUCUUUUUUU